CAUGCAUCGUAGCGGUUAGCCUACUUCUCGUCUCUCUCCCUUUCAAAAUCCAAACCAUUCCUUCGCAGCUAAGCUUUCAUCUGAUCGUUGACCGAAAAAAAAAACAGAAGCUUUCUUCUGAUUCUUUGUUAAUUCUUCCCUAUAAAAUCCCCAACGAUCUUACGAAUUCAAAACACAAACAUUCAAAAGAUGGCGAAUGAGAUAUGGAUCGUUCCAUUUUUUGGGCAGGGACAUCUCUUCCCGCUAGUGGAGCUCUGCAAACAAAUAGCCUCCCGAGACUUCAAAUCCGUUUUCGUUAUUUCUUCCAACUUCUCCUCUUCCAUCCCCUCUUCCCUCCGCCAGCACCCGCUUGUCCAAAUCGCCGAAAUCCCCGAAUCGAGCCCAUCGUCUGAUCCAUCAACGCCGCCUCAGCCAACUCCUCAGCCACUCCACCGCCACCACGAUCAGGACAACCAGAUAGCUAACGGUCUUGAGAAACUCCUUUCGACCCGAUGCCAGAGUUCGGAUUCUGCGCUGCCCGUAUGUGCCGUGCUUGACGUCAUGAUGGGCUGGACUGCCGAAGUUUUUAAGAAAUUUGAAAUUCCAACCGUAGCUUUCUUCACCUCUGGUGCUUGCUCUGCCGCCAUGGAGUAUGCCAUGUGGAAGGCUCGGCCCUUGGAUAUCAAAUCCGACGAGACCCGUUUGCUCCCCGGGUUACCCGAGGAAAUGGCUCUCACUCUAUCUGAUGUUAAACGACAGUCUCGCGGACCACCGCCACACGGUCAUGGUGGCGGCCCACCAACAGGGCCAGGCACAGGUUUUCCUCCGCCACCCGGUCAUGGUGGCGGCUCACAAACAGGGCCAGGAGCAGGUUUUCCUCCGCCACCGAGCCAAGGUGUAGGUGGCUUUCCUCCAUUUGGCCCAAAUGCAGGUAUGCCUCUGCCGGGCCAAGAUGCAGUUGGUUUUCCUCCAUUUGGAUCGGGGCACGGUAUGCCUCCACCCGACCCGCCUCUUAAUGGACCUGGCCCGGGAAGAAGGGGCCAUCCGCAGCCAGGAGGUAAACCCCGUGGACAGAAGAUGCUGACCGAUCUAUUGCGUUGAUGAUCAAUACGUGUGAUGAUCUGGAGCGUCCAUUCCUUAAGUACAUUGCGGAUCAAAUUGGAAAACCGGUCUGGGGAGUUGGCCCGCUUUUGCCCGAACAAUACUGGAAAUCGGCCGGUUCAAUUCUCCACGACCGCGAGUUCCGAAACAGCACCCGACGGUCAAACAUCACCGAAGACGAGGUGGUCGAGUGGCUAGACUCGAAGUCGUCCGGAUCAGUACUCUAUGUGUCAUUUGGCAGCACGGUAGCACCUACAGUGGAGGAGUACAAAGUACCGGCAGAGGCAUUGGAUAUCAUCCACCCAGCCCUUCAUAUGGGUGGUCCAAUCCGGUUCGGGUAGACCGCCGGGUCCUCCGCGGGGCGGUUCAGACAGACCGCAAGGUCUCUCGGGGCCGGUUCGGAAGGCGAAGAAGGAUACUAUCCACACGGAAUGGAGGCUCGAGUGGGGAAAAGAGGUUUGAUAAUACACGGAUGGGCCCCACAGCUGCUGAUCCUAAGCCAUCCAUCAACGGGUGGAUUUUUAUCACACUGUGGAUGGAAUUCAACAGUGGAGGCAAUCGGGCGUGGGGUCCCGAUCCUAGCGUGGCCAAUCAGAGGGGAUCCAACACCAUGAUGCCAAAUUUGGUGGCGAGCUUUCUGAAAGUAGGGUAUCAUAUCCCUAUUCCUCCUGACGAGAAAAUAUUAAUUAAGAAGGAAGAUAUAGUGAAGGGAAUCGAGAUGCUGAUGAGUGACGAAGGACAUGAAACGACGAGCUUUGGAGCUGAGUGAGAAAUUUGAGCAUGGAUUUCCAACAAGUUCGGUUGCUGCUUUGGAUGCUUUUAGAGAUUUUGUUGCCCAAAAGCCAAAAGCUGCUUCUUUGUGAUCAGCUUUUUUCUUGUUUGAUAGUUUGUUUGAUUUUUCACUUUUCUUCAGUGUAUCAAUGAUCAAUGUAUAAUGAUGUGUGUAAUUUUACUACACAUGUCACACUUUUUACUACAAUUUGGAAUGUUAUGUGUUUGUUUACAUCAGAUAUGAUCAACCUUGAAA